rnacentral:rRNA from 1 species
GACGAACCUUGCUAACGUUAUUCGGAAUUACUGGGCUUAAAGGGUGCGUAGGCGGUGCGGAAAGUUGGGUGUGAAAUCCCUCGGCUCAACCGAGGAAUUGCGCCCAAAACUGCCGCACUAGAGGAAGACAGAGGUACGCGGAACUUAGGGUGGAGCGGUGAAAUGCGUUGAUAUCCUAAGGAACACCGGUGGCGAAAGCGGCGUACUGGGUCUUAUCUGACGCUGAGGCACGAAAGCGUGGGGAGCAAACAGG